UUCCCAGGAUGAACGGACGAGAGGCUUGUGUGAGUCGGAGAUACAUACAGUAUAUGGUGUUGGAAUUGUUCUGUUGUUGAUGUGUUCAGGUCAGAAUGAAGUUUUAGAAGAGCGGCAGUCUCCGUGUGACUGUGGCAUCAAUGCAGGCGUGCUUGCUCUGGUGCGCAUGCGUUAAUCACUCAAAAAAAUCGAACGUGAUUAAUGACAUAAAUUAGUUACCGCCGUUAAGACGUUAUUUUUGACAGCCCUAAACUAACAAAACACAGUUGUGUGGAGCUGGUUGACAAGAAAAUAUGAAUUAAAGCUGACGUCAUUGUUUCAGUGACGCCAUUGAUUGUACAAGAGCAAUGAUGCUAUUGCUCAUUUUGAUGGACACCGUGUAUAUGCCUGUUACAGUUCAUCUAUUUGUGUGUGUGUGUGUUGUGGAUGUCCAAAUAUUGGUUGAUAAUGUGCAUGGUGAGGUGUUUAUAUCAUAUCCAUCAUGAUGCAGGUUGAGGUCACAGCAGUAGAGAGAUGGCACGGCUAUUGCUCAGCUGAGACGCCAUUAGUAAUGCUCUUUGCCCAUAGAGGUGUCACAUGCUAAAUGACCCUGAAUGGGGGUUGCAGAGAUACAAUGGUCCUGGUGUCGAUACCCAGCCCAGCCCCCACACCACCCCCUUAAAGUCAGCACCAACAGACAUUUUAGGGUGGGUACAGCAUGGACCCCAUAGUGCUCCUUGUAGGUUCCUCAAAUGUGAGAUGUGCUGUUAAAAGUGUCCCGUUUUUUUCUUAUCCCAUUGGGCCAUAUGAGCGAGCAUGAAUGGAAUUCACCAGGCUCUGCCCAGGUGGGUCCAGACUUGCCUCUGCUCGUCUUGGAUGGCUCUCUAUAAUCUGAGGAAUGUGGAUGAGGGAUGCCUGGCCUGCCCAUGAUGGGCCAGAGAGAUGGACAAUGUCUGCUUGAAAGUCUGCCAUGCCGCUCCCCCCCCCACUCUCCAAUCCACUUUGGUUAACCACCUUCUUCUUCUUCUUGGUGUGGGACCUCAGGGAUCAAGCGCAGCACGCCGUCCCACCGGGCCGACACGUGUCUUGGCACUAAAGUGCAGCGCUGCAGGCAAUCUUGAAUUGAACCCAUAUUGCUGAGUCACUUGACAGUGAAAAGCCCAGCAAAGAGAAGCAGAGCGAGAUGAAGGAGAAAAGAGCUCUCGGCAGGUGGUGGGCACCGGCGCUGCUUCAGCCCGCCGACUCCUUUCAGCUGGCACACAACUGCUCGGCUGCCACUGAGGCCCUGCUUUCCAUCAGAAUAUUCCCCCCGUCUCUUCCCCCCUCUUGAAACCAUAAAUGAGGAGAACAGGCUUGGGCGGGAAUAAUAGGAUCUUUUCUUUGCGCCUCUGCCAUGUGUGAGGACAGGAACAAUAGGCCGGAGCGGGAGGGGAAAUGAUUCAAAGUGAGAGUUUCACCUGCUCCCUUCCAAGCCGGGCCCUGCUCCCUUUCACAGCAUGCUAAUGCCAGUUCAUCUUCUACACUGCACUACUGUAAGCUCACUCUCUCUCACACACACACACACACACACACGCACACACACUUAGCUCUUAGAUCCUUUUUUCUCUUUGUGAUGGACAGUUUAGAUGAUUGUGACUACAGACCUUCAUUUUGGUAAUCACACUCAUUAUCAUCAUUCAGCCAUUUUCAGAGCUAAGAAUAAGUGGAUGACAGGCUUUGUGCUGCAGUGUGCCAGUUGGGAUGUGUUUUUUGUUUUUUUUUUUGUUUCUUCGCUCACACUAACAGUUGCUAUUUUUCCCCUUGAGUACACAGAAACUUUUCAGGUAACUUUUUCUGUAAACAUCUAGCGAUAGAACCAUGUCAUUUCUCACAAUAACUGGAAAGCGGAUGUUUUAUUUAUUUAGUAUCAUGUUCAGUUUAAAAUGUAUUUUUUAUAUUUUUCUAAAUUAUUUUAGUCCAGGGUGUACCCCGCCUGUCGCCCGAAGUCAGCUGGGAUAGGCUCCAGCAUGGCCCCGUGACCUGAAAGAGGAGAAGUAGCAUAGAAAAUGGAUGUAUGGAUAAUAUAAUUUUAAAAAGGUACAUAUUAUGAGCAUAUCAUUAUUAUGAAUGAUAAUGUUUGACAUUCCUGCCCAAACAAAAUAAACACAAAUAUUUUAAUGUAUUACAAUAAUUCAGUUUUGUCAAAUAGUGGUGGGUAGGAUGGGGACCAAGAGAGCCAGUGGGGAUUGUUCUUCUAAAGUUUCUUCAAGGUUAGCAGGUUUAUUCAUGCUUGAACAAAUUGGUGCCAGCAACUUAUACAGUGGUUUGUACAGUUCAUUCAAGUUAUAUUAUUUCAAAUUGGGAGGGCACGGAAAAAUGUCUGUCCCCCUGGACGGGGCAUGACAGAAUAAUCUAGAACCAGUGCAAUAGUGUAUUUUUUAUGAUAAUGCUUGUUCUGUAUGGAUAAUACAUUCAUGGAGUACACUAUUGCACACUACAGUUGUGCUGUGCAUUUUUGCAUGCAUAAAUGAUAGUUAACACAUGGAAAUCAUUUCAACACGUCACUUUCUCAUUCAGAAUCCCGCAAUAUUCAUCACUCUCCAAUGAAAAUAGCUAUCUCCAAUUUUAUUUGACAAAUAAGGUGGCAUAUAAGGUGGCAUAAAUACUCACGACAUUUUGAAAUACAUGCUUUUUACAGGACAGCACAAGAAUGCCAACUCAGUGAGCAUCUAUAUCUAUCUAUCUGUCUAUCUAUCUAUCUAUCUAUCUAUCUAUCUGUCUAUCUGUCUAUCUAUCUAUCUAUCUGUCUGUCUGUCUGUCUGUCUGUCUGUCUGUCUGUCUGUCUGUCUAUCUAUCUAUCUAUCUAUCUAUCUAACUAUCUAUCUAUCUAACUAUCUAUCUAUCUAUCUAUCUAACUAUCUAUCUAACUAUCUAUCUAUCUGUGUGUCUAUCUGUGUGUCUGUCUGUCUGUCUGUCUGUCUGUCUGUCUGUCCGUCUGUCUAUAGAAUCCACACGAGUGCCCCCCCUUUCAUUGGCCUUUUGGAUAUGUGUGUGUUUUUUUUUUUUGUAACGCCAUCACAGAAGGGCACCAGUGAUGGUAAAAAUGAAAAGUGUGAUUAUAACCAUAGAAGUGGAAUUGUAACUUUUCGCCACAUGGAAAACGUCUCUUUCCUGGCUGCUCAGUGCAAUACGGAGACUAAGUUGUCUUUCAUCUUCUGGAGAGACUCAGCUCCGAGGCACCCAUCAUAAUCUCCCGUGCAUGUUCAUCACGCAUCAUCAAUAUACAGUACACUUUAUUGUUUUGAACUUUUCCUAUGCUCCAGGUAACAGCUUAAAGCGUAUAAAUCUCCUUCUCUGCCUCUGUAGCACCAUCAAGAAGGGGAGAGUAGGUUUUUUUGUUUUAUUAUGCAGAGGUUAUCUUCUUUUUAUGCUUGUAUGACAGCGUAAAGAAUGUUAAAAUGUUGCUUGAUAAAGCUUAUAAAGGAUUUACAAUGGUGACAGUUUGACCUUGGAAUGGAUUAUUUGGACAUCCCUUACUUCGAAUGGGAAAACCUGUUUCAGAAUGUGAACAAAUCAGAAGUUGUCCAGCAUCCUGGACUGCGUUCAAGCUUCAAAGUUCCACGCCAAUGUGAAAAGAAGUCACUAAUGAGUCAUUAUUGUUAAUUGCGUCUCCGAGGCAAUUCAAUUAGCAGGAGUGUUACAUUAAAGUUCAAAUUUACAACACACGUCAAAGUGGUGGGCACUACUAAGUGUCCUCUAGAUGUUAUUGUUUGUCAUUCACCUGAGCUCCACAGUCACACACAAAUAAAGACGUCAAUAAAAUGUAGGCAAAUAUGUUUGUCUCUUGUGGAAUAAUCAUCCUAAAUUCAUUGGCUGCUCUAAUCUGAUCCCCUUUGCACUAAUUUGUUUGCAUCUCCGUGUUUACCGUGUGUGUGUGUGUGUGUGGUGGUUAUAGCUUUCAAUUUUCCCCGGUGCUGAGUGAAUUAAAAGGUGCCCCCUAAUUUAUCAUUCACAGCCUCACUUUAAUUGUUAAUCCGAGUUUGUAUGUACUCCCACUGCUAUGCAUCUACGUGUGCAAAGACUGCUAUUCAAUUACUGCUGCUGUAAUAGCUCAUUUAAUAAUGUCACUUAUUAAGUGGGGGGUGUUCAACGCAGCAGCAAGGUAUGCAAAUGCGUUCUUUCAAAAUGACAUGCGCAAACAUAAAUUAAACUCUUGUUUGGUGGCCUAAAUGCUGCAUUCGGAUUCCAUUUCAGUGUUAGAUAUUUGAAAAAGACAAUUGUUGGCGACAAAGUGCUUAUAUUAUAAUGGGAGCCAUUUCUCCAUGUACUUUUUCUCCAUCAUUAAUGAUGUGUGGACACUCUUGCUAAGGAUUACUGGGUCGAUAACCACAAAGUAUCCUCCACUUGUUUAUAAUACUGCUGACCGGUAAUAAGGUCAGCUAAAAUUUGUUAGAACUGUCUUCAGAAUGCCAUAUGAGAAAAAGUGAUGAAAGAGGCAUCAUUUUUGCCCAUGUUUGGCUCUCAAGUAAGAGUAUGAAAAAGUAUUAGACACUAUUUCAGAUUUAGAGUGCUCUUUCUUGUAAAUAAGUUUGUAAAUACAUGUCCCAUUAUUAUUUAUUGACAGAUUAGAAAAAAAUAUAUUUCAAAGGUGACUUUGAAAGGAACAACUACAUUUACGCUUUCUUCAUUGUCAUGUCUUUCUUUCUCUUGUCUUUAUCUUUUACAAACCUGAGAGUCCCUCAGGCAGUCUUUUCAUGUCCUAAUGUUUGUAAGUGUAGUUUCUCAAAGAUAUGUCGAGAGAGCGGCCAACACCCUUUUGUUUUUGUCUUGAAGCCACCAGAGUGCAUUGUGGGAAAGUGGUCAUUGGCAGCCUCACCCCUGGAAGGACUGUUUGCACAGCCCUUCAUGAGCUUAUGUCCAAAGGUGGCACAAAUCUCAGCUUGUCAUUCAUUGACAUAACAAUGCAACAAUCCAGGCAUGUUUUAAAAACCUUUUUUUAAACAUUUUAACCCCAGAAAUGUACUGAUUUUUUUGGUCGAUUACAAUACAGUACUUCCUUUAAAGUUUACUACUACUAGUAGUACUACUACUACUACUACUAAUAACUAGGGCUGUCAAAAUAACGGUAACUCAUUUAUUUAAUUACGUAAAAAUGUUUAGCGUAAUUAACGCAUGCGCACCAUGUUAAGCCACCCCUCUCUGUUGUGACGGGACACAAUAGUGUCCCGUUUAUUAUGCGUGUAUGUGUAGUCUAAAUAAACAAAGACAAAAAAAAAAAGUAAGUGGAUAUUGUUAUCACUGACUAUCGUAACUCAUACUGCGAAAGUACAUUUUUCUGCAUUUUAGUAUGCUCGGAAAUCCCGGAAAAUGCCUUUACGCUCAAAACACUGAAUUGAACUUAAAGAAUUCUGUGAUGUCUUUGAACUCAACCCAUCAUGGCUCAUAAUAACACGGUUUAAAUGUUCUGUUACUAUUGAAGAGACUGAUGUUUUAGAUUUUCAUGUCUUCUAUCUUUUAGCACCAUUUCAAUUUCCAGUUCAUAGAUGCAAAUAUAUAAAAUAGUGUCCUGUCAUUUAUCUUUUUUGUUCAAAAAAUACAGUAAAAAUACACAUACAGUGUUCCCUCGCUCUAUCACGGUUUACCUUUGGCAGAUUCGCUGUUUCGCUGAUUUUUUUUUUUACUACAACAUUUGAACGCUGUUACAGGCCGAGCCUGGCCCUUUAAGAAGAACUGCAUUGGGGGAAGUUGGGUGUCUCUCUCGUCUGUCUGCACCGCCCAUUGUUUCCUGCAUGCUGCUUGGUUGUAAACCAUUGCCAAUCAAUCUCCUUCGUGCCGCCCUGCGUGUUUCCUGUGUCAUCACUAGCUUGCUUGCUUGCUAGCUUGUAAAUGAAUCUUAGGUUCAAAGGACUGCAGCAAUAUGUUUUAACCAGCAUACAAAAAUGCUCCAGUACAGCGGAACGCCGCCAGGACGAAAAGGCACGGUUGCAGGAGAAAAAUACGUGUGAGGGACUUAAUUAUUUCUUGUAUCCUACCUGUGGGUAGAUCAUUAAAAUUCAGGUUUGAACUUCUUUGUGAAUGUUUAAACAAGAGAGACAUGUGAGACAAUGUUAUUACCUGUCUGAGAAAAGUGUAUAAAGUGUAAGGUGAGGGCCUUUACAGCCUUAAAACAUAUAUAAUCAUUGUAAAAAAAAAUAAUUUGGGUGCUUCGUGGAUUUCACUUAUUGCAGGCUACUUUGGGAACCGAAUCCCUCGUUGCACAUAUUUUGUUCUUGCACUUAUUUUGUUACUAUUAUUUUUGCAAAAUAUGCUAUCUGUUAUUUGUAUAAUAUAUUCAUAUAUUGUUAUUUUAAUGUUUUCAUUAUUAUAAUUAUCUCUCUUCUCUGAUAGAAAUCACAUGGUAUUACUGCCUGACAGUGAGAUCUAUCAAUCUGAUCUCUUUUGUGCAUUUUGAUGCUUUUUUAACUUGAGAUGUUCUAGAAUUGAUAUCUUCCUUGCGUCUGUGUGCACUUUCCAAACAUGCACUGAGCAUUUGCUGCAAAAAAUGAAACCAGCGGUUCA